AUGAGCCUGGAACGGAGAACAUGUUCUAUAAACAUGAGCCGAUGCUGUUACUAUUCCCAGGGCAACUUCCCAAUUAAAUACAACCCCUCAGCUUGUUUCUGCAGCCAACCUGGGUUUGCCCAAGGGCCCUUCUCCAGCCCAAUCUGGAAUGCCCUCAGCCCAUUUAAAACCAAUCUCCCGGUAAGCCCAGUCUCCACCAAAGGACCUCCCCUAGGACGUCCACCACUCCUAGACAUGGGGAUCUGUGCCAGGACAGGACUGCUUUUUUCUGAGCCCCACAGGGCCGUGUGCCUCCCCCAAGGAAUUUACACAUUCCACCUGGCAUUCCAGCUAUUUGUUUUCUCCUGCCUCCCCUCUCUGGGUGGUUUCUGGCCUCCUCCCUACUCCCCCUUGCCCAAGCUCUGUCUCUUCAGAGCUUUCUGUACCCUCCUCCCACCUUUACUUAGUCAAGUCCUACUCCUGUUUAAGACGAAGCUCAGGGUCCCCCAGACCCAACAGCACCCGGUGCAGGCUGGUGGACUUCAUGAUACCAGGGCCAAGAGGAAGAAGGAGAGCAGGACAGGGUGGGGGAGACUACAGUGGAGCCAGGGGAGGAAAAAGGACCAGGAAGGAAGGAAGAAGGAGCUCUGGGGGAUGGCUCUUCCCCAUUACCUUCCCCUCGCCUCUGCAGGGGCGGGGCAGUGUGGCCCACGGGAUUCCAUUCCUUUGGGCAUAGAAUGCCCUUGCUCACCAUCUUCACCCAAGAACCCUCAAAAGUCACUUCCCCCACUCAUCACUCUUCCCUCGAGGAACCUCAGCACGCUUGGCCACCUCAUCCUAGGGUAUUUACCACAUACUACCAUUUGUGGUCCUGGGACUCCUCCCCACUUCCCUAUAUCCUUACUCCCAGUAUCAGCACGUUUGCCUCCUGUCUGCCUGUGCAGGGACCAUGCGAGGGGAAACGCACAACCACGCGUGCUUCUGCACAACCCACUCCCAGGCUUAGUGCCAGGCCCGCACAUCUAUUAUUUCAUGUGA
rnacentral:lncRNA from 1 species